CAUUUGAGUGAGAAAGAGGAAGGGGGGGGGGGGUCAUCAUAAUUCAGCCCUAGUAUGCACAUCUUUCCAUUUACUCCAAGCACAACCAAACUUACUGUUAAACAAGCAAUGAGUGCAUUCUGACACUGAAUUAUUUAUGAUGACUUGCGUUGUCCAAUUUCAUGCCAUUCUCAUUCGAACAACAGAAAGACUGAAGCAGAUACCACAGGCUCUAAACGGUAAAAUGCCGCAGUGGCCCGCAGCUCAGCCUGCGCGGGGUGCAGAUAUGCGGUGCGCAUGAAAUUGAUGAGCUGAGAGCUGCCGCUGCGCUGUCGAAUGCACCAUCUGGAAUUCCAGUCUGGGCUUCUGCUGAAAGCUACUGACCCAGGAUUCAACUUUCUAACUCAUGGAAGGGAGCAAGAGAAGAAAAAGGCUGUCAUGUCAGAGAAGCCACUGUGUCAAAGUCCUUUAUCUUGCCAUUGGCUGGGGAAUUAAAGAAUCAUUUGGAGAAAGUCCAUUUCUUGGCUGGACUGGGGGGUACAUAAAGAUACUGAGUGAUGAAAAACAAAAUAAGGUCCUUUCACCUGGACUCGUGUGCUAAAUCACCACAGUGGGAAAUCAGACAACAGGACAGAGGCCUUUACAUUUACUAAUGUCUCAAACAGCAUCCUCACGCUCCCGGAUUCUGUGUGCCGUAUUGCACUGCAAAAAUCUCUCUUGAUCAGCUAGUGCAGAACGAGAAUAAAUAUCUCCUAACAACAGAUCCUGAUGUAGCUGGAUGUUUUCAAAGGGGUGAGCUGUGUAUCACCAAGUAUACAGCAGGGGGGUCUUAUUUUUAAGUGUCUGACAUGUGGCUCUGCGACAGUACUUUUCAUUUUAGCCUAAAAUGAAGAAUCUGAGGAGAAUGGCGAUCUUACUCACAUGGCGGAGAAGAUGAACACCUCUGUUUUAACCAGUAAACAUACAUGCUCUGUGCCCACUGUUUAUACUAACUUUCUGUAUAGUCAUUUAAUCUGUGAUUCAAGUACUUAUAUAUUUAUAUAAAAGUAAUUUAAACCUUGAAGAUUUAAAUGUUGCCAAGGUACUUCUUCUUGUUAUACUCAUAUGUCUUAAAUUUUAUGACACUUUUUAAACCCCACUGUCAGAAACAAUGAAACAUACAUUACACGAAGGUGGUGAUCCAAUCUGGUGCCUAAAAUCCCUUUUUUUUUUGUUCACUUUCUUUUUUCAAUUUAUUCCUUUCAUGAUUGCUGUCACUAAAAAAAUAAACAGCACCGUGAAUGACA